GCCAGUGUGGUGUAGUGAUUUGAGUGCUGGACUACAACUCCAGAGACCAGGGUUCAAUUCCUCGCUCAGCCA